GUCGAACGCUGGCGGCGUGCUUAACACAUGCAAGUCGAACGGAAAGGCCCUGCUUGCAGGGUACUCGAGUGGCGAACGGGUGAGUAACACGUGGGUGAUCUGCCCUGCACUUCGGGAUAAGCCUGGGAAACUGGGUCUAAUACCGGAUAGGAGCCAUUUUUAGUGUGAUGGUUGGAAAGUUUUUUUCGGUGUAGGAUGAGCUCGCGGCCUAUCAGCUUGUUGGUGGGGUAAUGGCCUACCAAGGCGGCGACGGGUAGCCGGCCUGAGAGGGUGGACGGCCACAUUGGGUCUGAGAUACGGCCCAGACUCCUACGGGAGGCAGCAGUGGGGAAUAUUGCACAAUGGGCGCAAGCCUGAUGCAGCGACGCCGCGUGGGGGAUGACGGCCUUCGGGUUGUAAACUCCUUUCGCUAGGGACGAAGCUUUUUGUGACGGUACCUAGAUAAGAAGCACCGGCUAACUACGUG
rnacentral:rRNA from 1 species